GAUGAACGCUAGCGGCAGGCUUAACACAUGCAAGUCGAGGGGCAGCGCGGAUGUAGCAAUACAUCUGGCGGCGACCGGCGCAAGGGUGCGUAACGCGUGAGCGACAUGCCCGUGACCGGGGGAUAACCGAUGGAAACGUCGCCUAACCCCCCAUAUUACCCGGGACCGCAUGGUUCUGGGUUGAAAACUCCGGUGGUCACGGAUUGGCUCGCGUCCCAUUAGCUAGUCGGCGGGGUAACGGCCCACCGAGGCGACGAUGGGUAGGGGUUCUGAGAGGAAGGUCCCCCACAAUGGAACUGAGACACGGUCCAUACUCC
rnacentral:rRNA from 1 species